CAAACACACUGCUAAGAUAUUUUGGUCCCAGACAGUUUGGCAACAUAUGACUUAAAAUUUUUGAGAGAAGGCUUUGUGCUACAUGCUGGGGAUACACUGAAGAACAAGACACCUACCUGCUCAGCAUAAGGUACUUCGUCUCUCAUCUUGUAAGAGCUCUUAUUAUUGAGCUUUUAACUACUGCAAAUGGCUUUAAACUCAUCGACAUCCUCAGAACACAUCCUAAACUCAGACCGACUUUAGAUACCUA